rnacentral:rRNA from 1 species
AGUGAACGCUGGCGGUAGGCCUAACACAUGCAAGUCGAACGGCAGCACAGUAAGAGCUUGCUCUUACUGGUGGCGAGUGGCGGACGGGUGAGGAAUACAUCGGAAUCUACUUUUUCGUGGGGGAUAACGUAGGGAAACUUACGCUAAUACCGCAUACGACCUACGGGUGAAAGCAGGGGAUCUUCGGACCUUGCGCGACUGAAUGAGCCGAUGUCGGAUUAGCUAGUUGGCGGGGUAAAGGCCCACCAAGGCGACGAUCCGUAGCUGGUCUGAGAGGAUGAUCAGCCACACUGGAACUGAGACACGGUCCAGACUCCUACGGGAGGCAGCAGUGGGGAAUAUUGGACAAUGGGCGCAAGCCUGAUCCAGCCAUACCGCGUGGGUGAAGAAGGCCUUCGGGUUGUAAAGCCCUUUUGUUGGGAAAGAAAAGUAGCAGGUUAAUACCCCGCUGUUCUGACGGUACCCAAAGAAUAAGCACCGGCUAACUUCGUG